GUGGGAGUGCCAGAGGCUGGAAAAUGGGCAGGACUUAAGAUCCUGUGACUUAGUGUCUACGCAGGUUCAAAUCCUGUCUCCCACA
rnacentral:tRNA from 1 species